rnacentral:rRNA from 1 species
CCUGCCGGACCCGACUGCUAUCGGAUAGAGAUUAAGCCAUGCAAGUCGAACAUUUCUUAACUAUGUAAGAAGUGUGGCAUACGGCUCAGUAACACGUGGUCAACCUACCCUAAAGACAUGGAUAACCCCGGGAAACUGGGAUUAAUAUAUGAUAGGUCGUUUUUCCUGGAAUCGGUUUAUGACUUAAAGGAUUGUUGAGCAAGUUUGAUUAAUUGCUUUAGGAUGGGACUGCGACCGAUCAGGUUGUUGGUGGGGUAAUGGCCUACCAAGCCGAUUACCGGUGCGGGCUCUGAGAGAAGGAGCCUGGAGAUGGACACUGAGAAAAGGGUCUAGGCCCUACGGGGCGCAGCAGGCGCGAAAACUUUGCAAUGUGCGAAAGCACGACAAGGUUAAUCCGAGUGCAACAUGCUGAAUGUAGCUUUUGGUAAAUGUAAAUAUUUUAUUGAAUAAGGGGAGGGAAAGUCUGGUGUCAGCCGCCGCGGUAAUACCAGCUCCCCGAGUGGUCGGGACGAUUAUUGGGCCUAAAGCAUCCGUAGCCGGUUCUGUAGGUCUUAUGUUAAAAUCAAUUGCUUAACAAUUGAACUGCAUGAGAUACCACAAAACUAGGAGGCGGGAGAGGUGGACGGUAUUCCACGGGUAGGGGUAAAAUCCUCUGAACCGUGGAGGACCACCAGUGGCGAAGGCGGUCCACCAGAACGCGCUCGACGGUGAGGGAUGAAAGCUGGGGUAGCGAACCGGAUUAGAUACCCGGGUAGUCCCAGCUGUAAACGAUGCAAGCUAGGUGAUGCAUUAGCCACGUGUUAAUGCAGUGCCGCAGGGAAGCCGUUAAGCUUGCCGCCUGGGGAGUACGUCGCAAGGCUGAACUUAAAGGAUUGGCGGGGAGCACCACAAGGGUGAAGCU